CUAAUACAUUGCAAGCCGAGCGGUAGAUUACUUUCGGGUACUUGAGAGCGGCGUACGGGUGCGGGAACACGUGUGCAACCUGCCUUUAUCAGGGGGUAUAGCCUUUCGAAAGGAAGAUUAAUACCCCAUAAUAUAUUAUUCGGCAUCGGGUGAUAUUGAAAACUACGCGUGGAUAGAGAUGGGCACGCGCAAGAUUAGCUAGUUGGUGAGGUAACGGCUCACCAAGGCGACGAUCUUUAGGGGGCCUGAGAGGGUGAUCCCCCACACUGGUACUGAGACACGGACCAGACUCCUACGGGAGGCACCAGUGAGGAAUAUUGGACAAUGGGUGGAAGCCUGAUCCAGCCAUCCCGCGUGCAUGAAAACGGCCCUAUGGGUUGUAAACUGCUUUUAUCUGGGGAUAAACCUACUUACUUGUAAGUAGCUGAAGGUACCAGAAGAAUAAGCACCGGCUAACUCCGUGCCAGCAGCCGCGGUAAUACGGAGGGUGCAAGCGUUAUCCGGAUUUAUUGGGUUUAAAGGGUCCGUACGCGGACUGAUAAGUCAGUGGUGAAAUCCGACAGCUUA
rnacentral:rRNA from 1 species